GAACCUCUUUCUCAGUGGCCGGGUCUUGCGCCUGGGCGCAGACGGGUAAGCGGAGCCAACACGCCGGUGGCCCGGAGCUGGGUUUGUCGCAAAACUUACGUGACCCCGCGGAGACCCUUUGAGAAAUCUCGUCUCGACCAAGAGCUGAAGCUGAUCGGCGAGUGUGGGCCCCGGAACAAGCGUGAGGUCUGGAGGGUCAGAUUUACCCUGGCCACCAUCCGCAAGGCCGCCCGGGAACUGCUGACGCUUGAUGAGAAGGACCCACGGCGGGUCCGCGUGGGGGCGCUGGAUGAGGGCAAGAUGAAGCCGGAUCACAUCCUGGGCCUGAAGAUGGAGGAUUUCUUAGAGAGACGUCUGCAGGCCCAAGUCUUCAAGCUGGGCUUGGCCAAGUCCAUCCACCAGGCUCGCGUGCUGAUCCGCCAGCGCCACCUCAGGGUCCGCAAGCAGGUGGUGAAUAUCCUUCAUUGUCCGCCUGGGCUUCUCCCUGCGCUCUCCCUAGGGGGUGGUCGCCCGGGCCGCGGGAAGAGGAAGAACGCCAAGCAGGGCCAGGGUGGGGCCGGGGCUGGAGACGACGAGGAGGAGGAUUAAGCCCACCUUUCUCUCCUGGGCUGCUGGAUUGUCUAGUUUUCCUGCCAAAUAAACAGGAUCAGCGCUUAAAAAAAAAAAAAAAAAA